rnacentral:lncRNA from 1 species
GGGAGCGACUCCAGGUCCGUCUGGUGAAUGGGAGCAGCCGCUGCGACGGGACAGUGGAGGUCUGGUUCCAGCAGUCGUGGCAGCCCGUGUGCGGGGCGCUCUGGGAGCUCAAUGCCUCCCACGCCCUGUGCAGCUCGCUGGACUGUGGCCAGGCUCACCAGCUGGAACUGCCGGUCCUGCAGACCCCGGAGCCGCCGCCCUGGGGAGCCGAGUGGAAUGCCAGCUGGGCCCCGACCACCACAGGGGCCCUGGCCCCCGCCGUCCAGUGCAGCGGCCCCGAAUGGCUGAGCUGCAAGGUGGUGGAGCGCGACUGCCGCAGCGACGAGCGGCCCGCCCAGGUCAACUGUACAGGUACUAACGGACUAUCGCGCACCCGCCGCCAGGCCCCCUGCCGUUCCCACCUCCCAGGCCUUCGGCCCCUCCCCCUCCAUCCUGUCCUCAGUUCUGGCCCCUGGGCCCAAACAUCGCCCUCUGAACUGAAACCCCACCCACCAGGGACGCAAAUACAACCAGUUCCCACACCGGAGGCGCCAGCAGCACCCCUACCCGCUAGUACAUAAACAGGCCAGGUUCCCAGCAUCUCUUAGCUCUUCGGCUCCCCAGGCUCUUCAGGCCCCGCCCACCGGGUCUCUAGCCCCACCCACUAGUCUGCCCCUCAGCCUGCCCACGAGGCCCAGAGAGGAGAUUCCUUAGUACCGCCCACCAGGCUAGUAGCCCCUACCACUGGCUCCCCAAACCCAGGUCCCCAGCCUUGACAGACAGUCUUCUCAAGCCCCUCUCCCUGGGUCUACAACCCCGGGGAACCACGCCCCUGCCCAGUCCCUACAGACAGUCCUCUCACCCCGUCCCUUCCUCUCCCUCUUUCCUCCCAUUCCCAAACCCAUUCUCCUCCAUCCCCAGAAAAACGCGAUUUGAAAUUGGUGGGUGGUGGCAGCCCAUGUGAGGGCCGCGUGGAGAUGCUGCAGCACGGCCAGUGGGGUUCGGUGUGUGACGACACGUGGGACCUGGAGGAUGCUCACGUGGUGUGCCGGCAGCUGGGCUGCGGCUGGGCCGUCCAGGCCCUGCCCGGCUUGCACUUCGCCCCUGGCCAAGGACGCAUCCACUGGGACCAAGUGAACUGCACUGGGUUGGAGACCUACCUGUGGGACUGCCCGGGGCUGCCCGGAAAUGGGUACUGUGGCCACAAGGAGGACGCUGGAGUGGUGUGUUCAGGUGCCCGGAGUCUGCUCAAUCUGUCCACUACUGAAGUCCCUGCAAGUGGUCAGCCAGUCACUGUGGAAUCUUCUGUGAUGGUGAAAACAAAGGACUGGGAAUCUCGAGAGCUAAUGCUCCUCAUCCCCUGCAUCAUUCUGGGAAUUCUCCUUCUCAUCUCACUUGUUUUCAUAGCCAUCAUCCUCUUGAGAAUUAAAGGAAAAUACGCCCUCCCUGCUGUGGUAAACCACCAGCACUCACCCACCACCACCCCGGCAGGGAUGGAAAACUAUCAAGAGGUCCCCAUCACCAUCGCCAAAGAAGUUCCCAAGCUGCCCAUCCAGGUCCAGGCCCCGCCCCCCGAAGACUGGCAUUCCAGCUCGGACUCAGACUAUGAGCACUAUGACUUCAGAACCCAGCCUCCUGUGGCCCUGACCACCUUCUACAAUUCCCAGCGGCACCGCUUCACAGAGGAGGAGGCCCAGCAGAACAGGUUCCAGAUGCCCCCCCUGGAGGAAGGCCCAGGACUGGAAGAGGUGCAUGCCUCCGAAGUUCCACCUGCCAACCCUGAACACUGCAUUGCACACCCUCCCUCCCGGGACCUUCCCCCACGGAGCAAAAGCAGCUCCAGCACAUCUUCGGGGGAGGUGUAUUGUAACAGCCCCAACAGCAAGCGACCUCUGUGGAGCUCUCAAGUGUUUUCAACAGAGAGGAACCCCCUCCUGGAGCAGCCCCCCAACUUGGAGCUGGUUGGCUCCCAGGCAACUAUUCCAGCAGGGCCCUCAGCUGAUGACAGCUCCAGCACCUCCUCUGGCGAGUGGUACCAGAACUACAAGCUGCCGCCGCAGCCCCUUUCUGCUGAGCAGUUUGGAUGUCCAGGGUCCCGUGCUCCCCAGCCUGACUUCUCCUCUGAUGAAGAAUAUGAUGACAUCGGAGCAGCCUAGCCAGGGUUCAGCUCUGUGUGCUCCCUCUCUCCAGACUCCUGCUCUGCAUACUCCCUCUGCUCCAUGCCCCACCCCUCCAUCCUCCCCAAUCAUCCCCAAGGGGCUGAUAGUCCUCCCC